UGGCUCAGUUUGUAGAGCAUGGUGUAUGCAACGCCAGGGUUGUGGGUUCAAUUCCCAC
rnacentral:tRNA from 1 species